rnacentral:rRNA from 1 species
GAUGAACGCUGGCGGCGUGCCUAAUACAUGCAAGUCGAGCGAACAGACGAGGAGCUUGCUCCUCUGACGUUAGCGGCGGACGGGUGAGUAACACGUGGAUAACCUACCUAUAAGACUGGGAUAACUUCGGGAAACCGGAGCUAAUACCGGAUAACAUGUUGAACCGCAUGGUUCAACAGUGAAAGACGGUCUUGCUGUCACUUAUAGAUGGAUCCGCGCCGCAUUAGCUAGUUGGUAAGGUAACGGCUUACCAAGGCAACGAUGCGUAGCCGACCUGAGAGGGUGAUCGGCCACACUGGAACUGAGACACGGUCCAGACUCCUACGGGAGGCCGCAGUAGGGAAUCUUCCGCAAUGGGCGAAAGCCUGACGGAGCGACGCCGCGUGAGUGAUGAAGGUCUUCGGAUCGUAAAACUCUGUUAUUAGGGAAGAACAAAUGUGUAAGUAACUAUGCACGUCUUGACGGUACCUAAUCAGAAAGCCACGGCUAACUACGUG